CAGGCUUAACACAUGCAAGUCGAGGGGCAGCAUUUUAGUUUGCUUGCAAACUAAAGAUGGCGACCGGCGCACGGGUGAGUAACACGUAUCCAACCUGCCGAUAACUCGGGGAUAGCCUUUCGAAAGAAAGAUUAAUAUCCGAUAGUAUAUUUUCUCCGCAUGGCGAGAAUAUUAAAGAAUUUCGGUUAUCGAUGGGGAUGCGUUCCAUUAGUUUGUUGGCGGGGUAACGGCCCACCAAGACUACGAUGGAUAGGGGUUCUGAGAGGAAGGUCCCCCACAUUGGAACUGAGACACGGUCCAAACUCCUACGGGAGGCAGCAGUGAGGAAUAUUGGUCAAUGGACGAGAGUCUGAACCAGCCAAGUAGCGUGAAGGAUGACUGCCCUAUGGGUUGUAAACUUCUUUUAUAUGGGAAUAAAGUAUUCCACGUGUGGGAUUUUGUAUGUACCAUAUGAAUAAGGAUCGGCUAACUCCGUGCCAGCAGCCGCGGUAAUACGGAGGAUCCGAGCGUUAUCCGGAUUUAUUGGGUUUAAAGGGAGCGUAGGUGGAUUGUUAAGUCAGUUGUGAAAGUUUGCGGCUCAACCGUAAAAUUGCAGUUGAAACUGGCAGUCUUGAGUACAGUAGGGGUGGGCGGAAUUCGUGGUGUAGCGGUGAAAUGCUUAGAUAUCACGAAGAA
rnacentral:rRNA from 1 species